AGAGCUGUAGGCAGUGGACUAAACACUGGCAAAUAUUGACAGAAGUCAAGGUUGUCCAGGACCAUUUAGCCCAUGCCUGCUGGGGAAGGAUAAACCCGCAGCUCAAAGGAACUGCUCAACGGGUUUGCAUUUCUAGGAACUGGGAAAUUCCUUAAAAGUUUAGAUUUGGCCGCUCUGUAAUCAUCUUUUGUGGUUUCAAAGCCACUGGAUUCAUCGUCUUUUUUCUGCUCUUCUUCCUUGUUACAGGAAAGUCUUUUUUUUUUCUUUCACAUUUGUUCCAGGAGGAAACUAUAACUCCUUCUCUAGAAGCAAGCCGUUCUGAUCCUAAGUGGUCAGAAGGAUGCUUUUGAUUGAAAUUACGGUUUAAUUUCACCCUGGGUCAAGUAACUGCUCACCAAAUGCUUUGCUGGGCUGUAUGCUGUCUCGUGUGGCUGAUUUCUGCCUUAGAUGAGAGCUGUUCAGAACUUCCUCCAGUGGAUAAUAGUGUAUUGGUUGCAAAGGAAGUAGAAGGACAGCUUCUGGGGGAUUACCUGUGUAUCAAAGGCUACCACUUGGUGGGAAAGCAGUCUUUGGUCCUCAAUAUCUCAGAGGAAUUGGAUGUUUCCCCCGCUGAGUGCCGCUUGGGCCACUGUCCCGAGCCUGUAUUGGAAAAUGGCACGACCAAUUAUUCUGGGCCUGUGAGUGCAGGAGACAAAAUCAUGUUUAAGUGCAUUGAUGGUUACAUCCUCAAGGGAAGCAACUGGAGCCAGUGCCAAGAGGACCACACUUGGGCGCCUUCCUUACCCACAUGCCGAAGUAGAGACUGUGACCCUCCUGGGAUUCCGAGCCAUGGCUAUUUUGAAGGAGGCUCUUUUACUUCGGGAUCUGUUGUUACCUAUUACUGUCGAGACAGGUACCACUUAGUGGGCACACAGAAGCUGCAAUGCGUUGAUGGGGAAUGGAACAGUUCAUAUCCUACCUGUGAGCCUGCCCCCAGACCGGCUGACCAGAUUGCACUUGAGAAAGCAAUUCUUGCCUUUCAUGAGAGCAAGGACCUUUGCAGUGCCACAGAGAACUUUGUGAGAAGACUAAAGGAAAGCGGACUGACGAUGGAGGAGCUGAAGUAUUCCCUGGAGAUGAAGAAAAUUAAGUUGAAGGAAGAUUUUUUGCUGAAAUAUCAUAGCUAAGCAAAAUGAAAGGGUUGCUGAGAUGCAGGAAAGAUGGAGUGUGUUCAGGCAAGAGCAUGUGACCCGGGUUGGCUUGGAUGAAACCUGAGCAGUGGUGAAGGACAGGAAGCUCACAGUUGCAGUCCACCAUGAGAGGGAACUAAAGGCAUCCAGAGCUUGAAGUAGCUGAUCGCAUCGUGUUCUCAGCCGGAAGAGGACAAGGCAUGCGAGUGCUGUCAUUGCCCUGUGCACAUCUUGUUCCACCCAGAACCUCCUGCCUAGGGAAUGGUAUCACCACGGCUUUCCUUGAUUAGCAUAAUCAAGAUGAUCAGCCCCCAAGACAUGCCCCAAAGCCCAUCUCGAGUUGACUUCAAAUUUUGCCAAGUGGACAGCUCAAUCAUAGGAGUCAAAGGGGAAGGAUGGUUCAAACAGGAAAUGUUUGGCAAUUCUAAAGACUUCAGAGAAAUUCUAGGAGAUCAGUUGAAGACGUUUGAACUCGCAGGUAAGGGCUGCAUUCUUUAGAAGUGCAGCAUCAUGUUCAAGAAUGGAAAGGAGUUUGAAGUUUUGGCGAGAUUGCAGGAACACUUCAGAGCAAGAGCCUGUGAACAGGAAGAGAAGAAGAGUCAGCUCUUCAAAUCGGGAUUGAUAGGAGAGAAAAGAAAUGACACGGAUAAAACUAAUAUAGAAUGAGUUUUAGUAAAAGAGAAGGCAGAACGACGCGGAAAGUAAGACAAGACAGACCCCUUGGAGAGAAAACGCUGUGCCCGUCAUGGCACAGAGAGCAGAGAAAAGAACUUGGAUACAUUGGAAAAUGAUACUUUGAAGACUGGAUUUUAAAGAUGUCAUUUCCUCCAAUUCAACUUAACUUUGUAGAAUUGUCCUUUAUUCGGAUUCUUAGCAAAUUAAAUCAGUCUGUGACCUCUGUGAA